UUGCUUCGAACAGCGCAUGGUCAAAAAACUAUUGAAAGUGAAAGCAACUGUUAACCAGCCACUAGGUACGAAAAUACAACGAUGGUUCUUUCACGAUCGUACACGUACGCAGUCGUGUUUCUUGCUUUAAUAAAAAAGACUCAUACAGGUUCUCACUCUCUGUGGGUGAUGGCUACAUUCAUAGCAGGAGAAACACAGUUCCCAAAGUUCAGUGCUGUGUUGAUGGUGGAUGACGUGCAAGUGGAAUACUUUGACAGUAACGAGAGUAAAGUCAUCAUGCGGAGACACUGGAAAGCGGAGGAUGUUAUUGAAGAGGCAGACCUGAAAAACACCGUUAUGUCGAUGAUUCGUGACCACUUAAAUGUAUAUUUUCAACAGUUGAAGCCGCGUUUUAAUCACACUAGUGGGGUUCAUACAUAUCAGCGAAUGACUGGAUGUGAGCUGAACGAUGAAGAUGAAAGUCCACUGAUGUUGUGGGAUGCUUAUGAUGGCAUUGACACAAGGAGUUAUAACAAGGGUGCCUACAUACACAAUCCCCUUUUACCAGAGUUAAUGUGGAGUAAGUUAAAGAUAGAGGCCUCAAAACUAGUGAAUACCAACUUAUACCAGCCCCUGUGCAUCAGGACACUCAAGAACUACCUACAACAAGAGAAAAAUACAGUAAAGAGAAAAGUGCGUCCCAAAGUCAGGGUGAUACAGAAGACACACCCAGAGUCGGGGACGCUGCAGGUGAUCUGUUUGGCCACAGGCUUCUACCCCCGUCACAUUAAUAUGACCCUGCUGAGAGACGGGCGGACCAUUCCAGAGGAGUACCUGCUCACUGGAGACCUCCUCCCCAAUGGAGAUGGCACGUACCAGCAGAGGAGGAUCCUGGACAUCAGCUCCGAGGAGAUGAAGGAAAGACACAAUUACACCUGCACUGUCACGCACACAAGCCUGAGCAACAAACUGGACGUCACCUGGGAACCGGGGCCUGCUCCGGACGUCACAUUCAUCGCUGUUGUUGUGUCCGUGGCUGUGUGUGCGGUCGUGCUUCUGGUCUUAGCCGUGGCUGCGUUCAUUAAGUGGAAGAGGAGAUCUGCAGGUCUACAGGGAUACCAUCCACCUGUCUCCAGUACAACGCUGAAUAAAGAAGAAAAUGACAUAUCUUCAAGCUCUUCCAGCUUAUAAGAGCACUGGCACAUUAUUCCUGAGAGGCCCAUCAUCCACUGUAAACUCAGACAUGUAUUUUAUACGACAUUAAAAUACUUUUUGUUAAUUUACUUAUUUUAUAGUUAGCCCUUUGUCCAAUGAAUGUCAGUUUGCAAUACUUAACAUUUUCAUUUUAUCAUGGAAAUUAAGCAGAGUGUUUACUGUCAUGGUAAAUAAGAUCUCAUUAUGAAUGGCGCAGUUAGUUGAUUUUUUUUUGGUUAUCUGGAUUUGUAUGUGUAAUUAUCAAGGGUUUUUAAGCAAAUAACGCAAAUAUGAUGCAAAUGCAAAUAUAGAAUGAUGAUGCAAAUAUAGAAAUAUGAUGUAUAAACAUAACAAAAUAUGAUGCAAGAACUUGUACAUUCUAGCAGCCAUUUUUAGCAAGGAAGAUUAAUAGAUGCGCAAAUAAUUUUAAUUGACAAAUAAUUUAUUUUCCAAAAUGUGUGUUAUUUAUUGCUAUAAGAUAAAAUCGAAAAUGUUCUCAAAAAUUGUCAGCACGUCUUUUAAAUAAUUAUUGUUUUUGGUGCCACUGUGUUGUGAUAUAAUGUAAUGUUUUGAUUUGUACAGUGUUGUCGAUAUGAUUGCUUUCUUUCUUGGAUGGUUGUAAUGGUAUAAACUCACAUGAAUUUCUCAAAAUGUGAAUGCAAAGGAUCACCUGACUUGACUUGAUUUGGAAGGGGAGGGUCAGAGGAAGGUGUCAGCACAGAGAUAUGAAAAGACACACGGGGGAGUCACCCUUAUAUUAUAGCACCCUCUGCUGUCUCUAAUGUGUCACUGCACUCUAGGUCUACAGGGAUACCAUCCACCUGUCUCCAGUACAACGCUGAACAAAGAAGAAAAUGACAUAUCUUCAAGCUCUUCCAGCUUAUAAGAGCACUGUGUACAUUAUUCCUGGGGUACAUCAUCCACUGUAAACUCAGACAUGUAUUUUAUAUGCCAUUAAAAUACUUUUUGUUCAUUUA